rnacentral:rRNA from 1 species
UGUAUGGUCGUUAACAUUGAUGGUUUUAUACCCAAACCAUCCCCCUGGGAACUACGAGCAAUAGCUUAAAUCCCAAAGGACUUGGCGGUGCUUUAGACCCCCCUAGAGGAGCCUGUUCUAGAACUGAUAACCCCCGUUUAACGGUCACCAUCCUUUGUUUUCCCCGCCUAUAUACCACCGUCGUCAGCUUACCCUG